rnacentral:rRNA from 1 species
UACGAAGGGGGCUAGCGUUGCUCGGAAUCACUGGGCGUAAAGCGCACGUAGGCGGAUUGCUAAGUCAGGGGUGAAAUCCUGGAGCUCAACUCCAGAACUGCCUUCGAUACUGCGGGUCUCGAGUCCGGGAGAGGUGAGUGGAAUUCCUAGUGUAGAGGUAGAAUUCGAUAGAUAUUAGGAAGAACACCAGUGGCGAAGGCGGCUCACUGGCCCGGUACGUGGACGCUGAGGCG